CAUAAUUUUUAAGAUAAAGUCAAAUGUCAAUUACAUUUAUUACCUACUAUACUCAGAGGUGUAUUGGUACGGAUACGCGGGUAUACUUAGCAGAUUUUCGAUUUUCAGCGCAUACCCAAUGUAAAAUCUCAUUUUACGCUCCUAAAAUAACCUGAAAACCAAAUAAAAGUUAAAACUUAUUUAUUAAAUAUUAGUUCGUAGGAAAAAUUGUUAUGGUGUUUUAAUGAAUUAUUUAUCGACUGAAGUAUUGAAUAUAACAAUAUGCGUUGUGUUUAAUGUAUUUUAAGUUCAAUUUAGUUUGAACUUUCAAGAAACUUCAAGUGUGUAAACUGUAUAACCCGUAAGGUGUAUUGACCACUGGUAUCCGUUUUAAUUUUUAAAUUUAAAUAAUUUUACUUUUUAGUUUUUAAAUAUAAACGGUGCACCUUUGAAUCGAUGGAACACAGAAGUAUAUGUUAAGUCAUGGCUAAUUAGCCAACAUGCAGCUGCUGAUGAUACAAGAACAAAUAUAUUGAACAUCGAUAUAAUUUUGGAUAUUAUUAUUUGCAGACACAAGAUUUGAUUUAAUCUAUCAUCAAUAAUAUUGUUGCUGUUGUAGCGUUCAGUAGGGCACACACUCUUCGAAGAGACCUAGGAAAGCUGGCCGAAAACAUUUCAACACAAGAUAGCUCAUCAAAAACGAUUCGCCAACAAUUAAUUCGUCAGUAACACGUCUUAUAACUGUCAAAGUAUUUUUCAUCAAUUACACGAAUAUUAAUUUACAUAUUUCAU